GACGAACGCUGGCGGCGUGCCUAAUACAUGCAAGUAGAACGCUGAAGGAGGAGCUUGCUUCUCUGGAUGAGUUGCGAACGGGUGAGUAACGCGUAGGUAACCUGCCUGGUAGCGGGGGAUAACUAUUGGAAACGAUAGCUAAUACCGCAUAAGAGUAGAUGUUGCAUGACAUUUGCUUAAAAGGUGCAAUUGCAUCACUACCAGAUGGACCUGCGUUGUAUUAGCUAGUUGGUGAGGUAACGGCUCACCAAGGCGACGAUACAUAGCCGACCUGAGAGGGUGAGCGGCCACACUGGGAGUGAGACACGGCCCAGACGCCUACGGGAGGCAGCAGUAGGGAAUCUUCGGAAAUGGACGGAAGUCUGAACGAGCAACGCCGAGGGAGGGAAGAAGGGUUUCGGAUCGUAAAGCUCGGUUGUAAGAGAAGAACGAGUGUGAGAGUGGAAAGUUCACACUGUGACGGUAUCUUACCAGAAAGGGACGGCUAACUACGUG
rnacentral:rRNA from 1 species